UUAGUCAGGCCAGUGUCCUUCCAUAUUACUUUCUAAGACCGAGCACUACUUUUCUGCAAGCGUAGUCCAAUGUUACGAAUCGCGCCAUCUCUUGACGAAGUGAACAAACCAAAACAUCGUCAUCGGUGUGAAGUAGCAGCAGACGGCGCGCCCGAGCAGCGACGGUGUUCACGACGUUCACUUUAUUAUAAAUUCGUUGAUCAAUCUGUACUCUUCAAAAAUUUAAAUUAUUUGAAACUUAACAAAUUACUGUACAAAAUCAAGAAAUAUAUACGUUUUAAAUAUU